UACGAAGGGGGCUAGCGUUGCUCGGAAUCACUGGGCGUAAAGCGCACGUAGGCGAAUUGUUAAGUCAGGGGUGAAAUCCUGGAGCUCAACUCCAGAACUGCCUUUGAUACUGGCGAUCUUGAGUCCGGGAGAGGUGAGUGGAACUGCGAGUGUAGAGGUGAAAUUCGUAGAUAUUCGCAAGAACACCAGUGGCGAAGGCGGACUCACUGGCCCGGUACUGACGCUGAGGUGCGAAAGCGUGGGAGCAACAGGAUUAAGAAACCC
rnacentral:rRNA from 1 species